GUCGACGAUAAAAAUAAAAUUGUCGGCAAAUGUUUUUGAGUAACGUUAGUGGUUUGAUCUCGUAUCUGCCUAAUUUGAAAGCCUGCAAUAAUGCAGUUUGACCAGUGUGGCGCUGUAGCGCAAGAUUGUAAUACACUCUCCUGAUUCAAUUCAAAAGAAGAAGAUAGCACUUCAGUUUGAGGAAACCGAGCCGAUCCGAACCUUGGAUGAAUAUAUUUGUGCAGAAUUUGAAACAUACAGAAUUACCAUAGGCCCAUCAGAAUCAACAAUCUUUGCCAAACUGGAUCCGGACUGCAAAACUUAUGAAGAUGUUUGCAUAAUGAAGAAGAGUCCUUGGACAAAUACUGAAACCCUCUUGGUGCCCACUACACAGGCAGGGGUGUCCAGACCUGAUCUAAGAAAGCCAGAGUUCUGUGGAGUUCAGCUCUAACACACCUGCCUGGAACUUCAGACUAAUGAAAUUGAAGUAUCCAAAUGAAGACCCUAGCCGUAUGGAGUAUAUGGAUACAGAGGUUGCCAGCAAUCAGGAGGUGAUCCAGAAGACUCCUGGGAAUCUAUUUGAAGCUGCAUCAUUGAAGACAGUCCAGCAGAUGUUGGAGUUUUAAAGGAUACAGUUCUUCAGGACCUAUAGAAGUUUACAGUCUGCAAAACCAUGUUGCUGGGACUGAUAUAUGGACUGAACUUGAGGAACCCUCCUG